GCCCCGGCUCGGCCCCCUCAGGAAGCGGCCGGGAGCAGCCGGGGAUGGGGAAUGGCCGCCGCCGCUGCUCCCGUCCAGCGUGGGCAUACGGAGAGACACGGGCACCUGGACGUCAGCUCCCGGUGAAGAAAAAGAGUGAGAUGGUUCACUGCAGGGAGCACCUGAGAGGCCUUCAAAGGAGUUGCAGGGCUGGAGAAGAGCAGCUCAGAGCUCUCUGCCUUGCUCACAUCACCACAACAGCUACAGAGGGAAAACACUCCUGACACGGCAUUUCCUUUGCUGCGUCCCUGGCUGCUGUGUGAUGGGCAGGAAUAGCAGGAGAUGACACUGGUGAUUUCAAGCCUUAAUACCCAGCUCUGUGGGACCAGCUUCCAACAGCUCCUCUUCAAGUUGGGUUUGGCUGCUCUGAAUUUGGGCUGAGCCUUUUCUUCAGUUGAGUACACCGGCCUUUCCUACUGCAGACCCAACUGCAGGCCCCACUGCAGGCAUGGCAUACAAACUUGUUCUAAGGACUGCCAAGUAAGAUUGAAGUAACAGCCUGAUGGUGGUGAUAUUUGCAAGACCUUUUCAGAGUUCAGCAUCAGCUUCUGUCCAGAUGAAGGCUGUGAGAGCAGGAGACUCUUGUGGAUGUUUUUUCCCUGCCUAGGUGCCUCCUUCUUUUUUAUUGGUUAACUGAAAGUCUGAACCUCAAGAACUAAGGCUUUAUCUCUACUGGACUCCACAACAGGGAGGCUCUCCAGAGAAGCUGCCACUCCUGCUGUGCCCAGCAGCCCCACACGGGCAGAGGGACUGAUCCCACAGCGCUGCGCUGCUCCCUGCACCGGGGACACGGGGACACACCCUGGAAUGUGUCACAUCAGCUGGCAGCGGGGGUAGCCGGGUCACACACGGAGCCCCGGUGCCUCUGCUGUGGCCACCCUCCUCCCAGACACUGCAAGUUCAGGCUGCCUUCUGCCAGCAGAGGUACUGAAGUGAGAGCAUGAGGAGGAAAAGCUGAUGUAAUGCCUUCCAGGAAAGUGAUGAAAGAAAGAGGAAAUAAAUGUUUGGCUUUUUGUCCUCUUCUCAUCUCACUCAUUUAUAUUAUUAAUAUAGUUAUUUAAAACUACUUAAGAGACAGUGCAUCUGCACUCACUUCAUGGGUUUCAGAAGUAAGGGAUUUCGGGGUUUUUUUUGAAAAAACUAACUAAGAAACAUUUAAAAAUCUUUCAGAAAGAUAACCCCCUAUUUCCAGUCCCCAUCUCUCUCUUCAUUUGCAUGCCACAACCUUAUUUCAUAGUGUCUUGUUUUUUUGGGUUUGUGUUUGGUUUUUGUUAAUGAGGCAAAAUAAUAUAGUCCUGUACAGAUAAUUCAUUAUUUCAAGUGUUGUAUUUUCACUUACUGCUGAAAAUAGUGAGGACUAAAUCUGAGUAUUUUCUGCAGCAUAAAUAAACUUGUAUGUAUCUUA